rnacentral:rRNA from 1 species
UACGAAGGGGCUAGCGUUGCUCGGAAUCACUGGGCGUAAAGGGCGCGUAGGCGGAUCUUUAAGUCAGGGGUGAAAGCCUGAGGCUCAACCUCAGAAUUGCCUUUGAUACUGAGGGCCUUGAGACCGGAAGAGGUCGGCGGAACUGCGAGUGUAGAGGUGAAAUUCGUAGAUAUUCGCAAGAACACCAGUGGCGAAGGCGGCCGACUGGUCCGGUUCUGACGCUGAGGCGCGAAAGCGUGGGAGCAAACAGG